UACGUAGGGGGCGAGCGUUAUCCGGUCUUACUGGGCGUAAAGCGUCUGUAGGCGGGGAAGAAAGUCUGUCGUUAAAGCCUCCGGCUUAACUGGAGAGAUGCGAUGGAAACUUCUUCCCUUGAGGGCAGGAGAGGAAGGCGGAAUUCCCGGUGUAGGGGUGAAAUGCGUAGAUAUCGGGAGGAAGGCCGGUGGCGAAGGCGGCUCUCUGGCCAGUUACUGACGCUCAUGCGCGAAAGCUGGGGGAGCGAACCGG
rnacentral:rRNA from 1 species